rnacentral:rRNA from 1 species
UACGUAGGGGGCGAGCGUUAUCCGGAUUCAUUGGGCGUAAAGCGCGCGUAGGCGGCCGCCUAAGCGGAACCUCUAACCCCGGGGCUCAACCUCGGGCCGGGUUCCGGACUGGGCGGCUCGAGUGCGGUAGAGGAGAGCGGAAUUCCCGGUGUAGCGGUGGAAUGCGCAGAUAUCGGGAAGAACCCCGAUGGCGAAGGCAGCUCUCUGGGCCGUCACUGACGCUGAGGCGCGAAAGCUGGGGGAGCGAACAGG